rnacentral:misc_RNA from 1 species
AUUCAUUGCAACUUGCACACAAAUGUAUACUUAAUUCCUUCUAUGGAUAUGUCAUGCGCAAGGGUGCAAGAUGGUACUCAAUGGAAAUGGCUGGGGUAGUUACUUAUACAGGAGCAAAAAUAAUCCAGAAUGCUCGCUUGCUUGUUGAAAAAAUUGGAAAACCACUUGAAUUGGACACGGAUGGUAUAUGGUGUGUGCUCCCUGGAUCUUUUCCAGAGAACUUUACCUUUAAAACAAAGGACAUAAAGAAAAAAUUAACAAUCUCAUAUCCCUGUGUUAUGCUUAAUGUUGAUGUUGCAAGAAACAAUACAAAUGAGCAAUACCAGACGCUUGUUGAUCCUGUAAAUAAAACAUAUGCAACUCAUAGUGAAUGCUCAAUUGAAUUUGAAGUUGAUGGCCCAUACAAGGCAAUGAUUCUUCCAGCUUCUAAAGAGGAAGGAAUUUUAAUUAAGAAGCGAUAUGCUGUCUUCAAUGAUGAUGGAACAUUGGCUGAGCUUAAAGGUUUUGAAAUCAAGCGUAGAGGUGAGCUGAAGCUGAUCAAAGUUUUCCAGGCUGAGCUUUUUGACAAGUUCCUGCAUGGAUCAACCUUAGAGGAAUGCUAUUCAGCUGUAGCUGCUGUAGCCAACCACUGGCUUGAUCUUCUUGAUAAUCAAGGAAAGGAUAUUGCUGACAGUGAGUUGCUUGAUUAUA